GUGUUUUCUGAGCGCUCUGGGUUUUGGCUGUGGACUGGAAUCAUGGCACAGGGGGAGUCACGGCACGGGGGGAGUCACGGCACGGGGGGGAGUCACGGCACGGGGGGGGGGUCACGGCACAGGGGGAAUCACGAGAUACCCAUGUUGCAGUCGGCGGAGCCUGUGAAUGUCCCUUCCACGGACCCUGCAGGUGGGCUCAGCGAAGGGCCUGAAGAUGGGAGCUGACUGUCCUGGGGGGUCCACUGGAAUCGCAGAG
rnacentral:lncRNA from 1 species